rnacentral:tRNA from 1 species
AAGAAAUUAGUUAAAAAAUAACAUUAGUAUGUCAAACUAAAAUUGCUUUAUUAGCACUUCUUU